UACGGGGGGGGCAAGCGUUGUUCGGAAUUACUGGGCGUAAAGGGCGCGUAGGCGGCUCACUAAGUCGGAUGUGAAAACUCUGGGCUCAACCCAGAGCCUGCAUCCGAAACUGGUGGGCUAGGGUGCUGGAGGGGAUAGCGGAAUUCCUGGUGUAGCGGUGAAAUGCGUAGAUAUCAGGAGGAACACCGGUGGCGAAGGCGGCUAUCUGGACAGUAACCGACGGCUGAGGCGCGAAAGCUAGGGGAGCAAACAGG
rnacentral:rRNA from 1 species